GAUGAACGCUGGCGGCGUGCCUAAUACAUGCAAGUCGAGCGAACAGACGAGGAGCUUGCUCCUCUGACGUUAGCGGCGGACGGGUGAGUAACACGUGGAUAACCUACCUAUAAGACUGGGAUAACUUCGGGAAACCGGAGCUAAUACCGGAUAAUAUAUUGAACCGCAUGGUUCAAUAGUGAAAGACGGUUUUGCUGUCACUUAUAGAUGGAUCCGCGCCGCAUUAGCUAGUUGGUAAGGUAACGGCUUACCAAGGCGACGAUGCGUAGCCGACCUGAGAGGGUGAUCGGCCACACUGGAGCUGAGGCACGGUCCAGACUCCUACGGGAGGCAGCAGUAGGGAAUCUUCCGCAAUGGGCGAAAGCCUGACGGAGCAACGCCGCGUGAGUGAUGAAGGUCUUCGGAUCGUAAAACUCUGUUAUUAGGGAAGAACAAAUGUGUAAGUAACUAUGCACGUCUUGACGGUACCUAAUCAGAAAGCCACGGCUAACUACGUG
rnacentral:rRNA from 1 species